rnacentral:snoRNA from 1 species
ACGGCCCUGAAUCAAGACCAGCAGUUGGCUGUAACUGCUGGUUUCAAACAGAGGCCAAAAUUAUAGCCUUUCAAUGGUCUGUUGGGUAUCCUCUGUGUUGGAAAAGGGGAAAUCCAGUUCAGUUGGAAGGAACACUU